GGCGCUUCCGGCGGGGCCUGCGUCCGAUUAGCUAGUUGGUGGGGUAAUGGCUCACCAAGGCGACGAUCGGUAGCUGGUCUGAGAGGAUGAUCAGCCAGACUGGGACUGAGAACGGCCCAG
rnacentral:rRNA from 1 species